rnacentral:rRNA from 1 species
UACAGAGGGGGCGAGCGUUGUUCGGAAUUACUGGGCGUAAAGGGCGCGUAGGCGGCCCGCUAAGUCGAACGUGAAAUCCCCAGGCUCAACCUGGGAACUGCGUCCGAUACUGGCAGGCUUGAAUCCGGGAGAGGGAUGUGGAAUUCCAGGUGUAGCGGUGAAAUGCGUAGAUAUCUGGAGGAACACCGGUGGCGAAGGCGGGUCUCUGGACAGUUCCUGACACUGAGGCACGAAGGCCAGGGGAGCAAACGGG